UUGUACGUGCAAAUAAUUAAGGAUAGUUUCAUCAUUUAUAAGAUGUUUAUUAUUACUUUGCAUGAUCAAUAUAUAAAUGAUCUCUGUUGCUACCAAAUUUGUGGACCAAUCUUUUCUUUUUGGGUAUCCAAAUGUGGUUUUAAGGAUGAACAUUCUGAUAAUGGAGUAUAUAUUAUUUGUGGACUAAUUAACGCCAUUUGUCAUGCAGAUCAUGCGCCUGCUCAAGAAGAUCCCAACCUCAGUUGUCACUUAACCUGGGGCAAGGGGCGGCAAUUUUUAAUACCAUGGCCAUCAUUUUCUGAUGUUUGCGUGAUAUUAAUCUGUGAUUGUCAACUUUUGUGUGAUCCAGAAUUUCUCAAAAUUGGACUGAACUCUAUAUUAUAAGGCCGUCCAUGGUCCUAUUGGAAUAUGUUGCUUUCAACUGGAGCCCAUCGCUGAAGCAAUAUAGCUUCCAGGUGUUGCCAUUUACAAUUGCCAAUUUAGCGUCUGGUUAUCAGCAGUAAGCAAGGAAUCAACUCCUCUUCCAAAGAAGACGGCAUGGAAAAUGCUAUCCCCCUCCCCAACUAAAGCAUAUCUUUUGUACAUUGUACUGAUUGAGAAUAUAUUCUGGUCAUUGACUCAAGUCAACUCGCCAGAAAGACAUUUAUAUGCAUGUAGUAAUAGCGCCUGCAUGCUCAAGACUAUAUUUCAACUCAUACAUCUUAAAAUGCUCCAAAAUAAAAUUUUAUUUGGUGUUUUUGUGUGUGGGGGUGUUGGUUGUGCAAGGGUUGUGCACGGCCAACAGGGGACAGGCGGUUUGACCGGCCAUAUAGGCCAGUCUGACCGGUCGCAUAGGGCUGGUCUGACCAGCUAGACAUGGUGGGUCCAUGAAAUUCUCCUUUCUGGUUCUACCCAAACCUAUCUCCUCCCCAUUCAGUUCCUCUCAUCCCCAACCUGAAAACUCUUCAUCUCUCUCCUCUAUCAAACCCUAGCUUCAUCCAUCCACCAAAUCCUCUCGGUUUGAUCGUGGAUUUCGCUCCGGUUACACCGGAAGUGAGUCUUCUCCACUUCCUCUCUCUAUUCUAUGGAUUAUUUACUCUUUUGGUUGAUUUAUUGAUCCAUGGCAUGGAAGUGGUGUUCUUUGUUUUGCACCAAUAGGGGUAGUUUCUUGGUGUGAUUCAUCUCUUCAAUCCGGUAAAUCAACUUCUCUCUUGUGCUUCAUCUCAAUUCAAUCUAUUUCACUAUUAGGGUUAAGGGUAGUUUUCUCCUUCUAGUUCAAUCUUGAUGAAAUACACACUUUUCUUAAUGAACAUGUGAAUAUUGUUCUAGCAUGUUAAUCAUUUGAGUAGAGGUGGAGAAAUUUUGUGCUUGUGCUCCUCUGUUAGUGGUGGUUUGACCAGUGCCAUUGGCGGUCUAACGGCGGUUGUGCCGUCGGUCUGACCGAUCGCAGGUUGGCGGUCUGACCGGCCUAUUGCCAGUGUCUGACCGCCCCUGACAGGAAGUUAGCAAUUUUUUCUUCACACCUAAACAAGUGUUUAAAUAUUCGCUAAUAUCCUUUUCCUUGCUCCUUGUAUCCAGUGAUGGCACCUCGGACUCGUCGUGGUCAUCGUGUCUGAGAGUGAGCAAGAGGAGUCCAGUGCAGAACAAUAUGCUCAAAGUGAGGAAGAAGAAGAGGGUGUUGAGGUGGACCAAGAUGAGGGUGAUGAGAAUGAUAAUGGGAGUGAUGAUGGCAACAAUGAUGAUGAGGAUGAGGAGGAAAGUGAUGAUGAGAUGGAAGUUGAUCUGUUGAUCCAGUUCUUUCUAUACCUAAGAAACCCCACCUAGUACACCAUCAUUAGGCACCAUGAUCAAUUCCGAAGAACCAAUGACUCCGAUGAUCCUUGAUUUCACACCUUGUUCCAGAAAGCUAUAUUUGAGACCAUCUACAAGCCGGGCAAGGCGUUUGCUGAACAUAAGUGGAUUUCAUGGAGGAAUAUCAAUAAAACCCCAGAGUUUGAAGUAUUGCAAAAUCUGUUUGAGUAGGUUGGAAUUUAUCGCAUUGUGACCUUGAGGCAAGAUUAUGAUGAAGAGUUUAUUAGACAAUUUUAUGCCACUGUGUGGGUGCCCGGUGAUUUUGAUACUUUGAAAUGGAUGUUGGGAACCGUUCAGUGUUCUAUCGACAGAAGGGAGUUCAAGAGCCUUUUGAACAUCCUGUUUGGCAAUGGUGACAAUCUUCAUGAAGUGCAUGCCCACAAUCUGUUUUUAUUAAUGAAUUAGCUCAGUUCUAUGAGAGUAUGAGGAUGGUGGGAGGCAUACUUAUGGAAAAGUUGUCGGUUUGAGGACCCUCCCAAGUGUGGUGAAUUGGAUUGUGAGGGCCACUAUUCUUCCCCAUUGUGGAAAUAACGAUGACAUUUGGGGAGUGGCUUGGCAUGUGGUUGAUGCCAUUAUGCAAGGACAUAUAUUUCACGUGAUCAAUCUUAUGAUGCAAGAGAUUGCAAUCUCCAAAGGAACCUUUGGACAAGACAUCUACUAUACCUCAUAGUAUGAGAUUUGAUUCAUGCAAAAGUUGUCAGCCUCUUAUAGUAUGAGAUUUGAUUCAUGCAAAA